rnacentral:rRNA from 1 species
UACGUAGGGCGCAAGCGUUGUCCGGAAUUAUUGGGCGUAAAGAGCUCGUAGGCGGUUUGUCGCGUCUGCUGUGAAAUCCCGAGGCUCAACCUCGGGUCUGCAGUCGAUACGAGCAAACUAGAGUGUUGCAGGGGAGACUGGAAUUCCUGGUGUAGCGGUGAAAUGCGCAGAUAUCAGGAGGAACACCGGUGGCGAAGGCGGGUCUCUGGGCAACAACUGACGCUGAGGAGCGAAAGCGUGGGGAGCGAACAGG